UCCUGGCACCCUUCAUUCCACCGGAAUCUGUCAAUACUGAAGCCAGAUUUCAGUGAAAUGAAGCCCGUCAGAGA
rnacentral:pre_miRNA from 1 species